CCUACGGGAGGCUGCAGUGGGGAAUAUUGGACAAUGGGGGGAACCCUGAUCCAGCCAUGCCGCGUGUGUGAAGAAGGCCCUCGGGUUGUAAAGCACUUUCAGUGAGGAAGAACGCCUGGUGGUUAAUACCCAUCAGGAAAGACAUCACUCACAGAAGAAGCACCGGCUAACUCCGUGCCAGCAGCCGCGGUAAUACGGAGGGUGCGAGCGUUAAUCGGAAUUACUGGGCGUAAAGCGCGCGUAGGUGGCUUGAUAAGCCGGUUGUGAAAGCCCCGGGCUCAACCUGGGAACGGCAUCCGGAACUGUCAAGCUAGAGUGCAGGAGAGGAAGGUAGAAUUCCCGGUGUAGCGGUGAAAUGCGUAGAGAUUGGGAGGAAUACCAGUGGCGAAGGCGGCCUUCUGGACUGACACUGACACUGAGGUGCGAAAGCGUGGGUAGCAAACAGGAUUAGAUACCCCUGUAGUC
rnacentral:rRNA from 1 species